AUGAUGGAGCAGGUCAAGGUGGUUCGAGAAGCCAGCCAAGCGGCUUAUGACGCGAGUUUAGCUCUUCAGAGUAACGUCCAGAAAUCCUGUGAACUUGUGGCUCUCUACACUGAGUUGGAGAACAAACAGAUCCAGCUCGACCUUGACUUGAAGCUCGCUCAACAGAACCUGCAGAAGGCGCGAGACGAAGCAAAAGAUAAACUGGAGGAAGCUCUGAAGAAGAAGGAUCAAGAUCUUGCCGAAGCACAGAAGGAGGCCUCGAGCAAAAUGAAGCUUGCAGAAGAGAAACUGGCUUCGGUCGGAACUCUUGAACAGGAGAACUCCAGACUGAAAACUGCUCUCGAGACAGCUAAUCGAGAGGUCAGCCGACUAAAGAACGACAAGAUGGUUCUGCACGACCAGGCGGGUGAGCUGGCGGGGAAGGUAAAUGAUCUGGAGGCUUAUCUCGGUGGACUUGCCAAGAAGCUGUUCGUCAUGCUCGAAGAAUUCUGCCAGAGCUUCGAAGAGGAAACCAGUCGAGUGGAGCCAGGCUUGGAUCCCGCCAAUUCUCUUGUGAAGGACGAGGCUGCUAUGAACGUGCUCCGACUGGAGUCUCGUGUUACCAGCGUUGUUGACUAUCUUGCUCGGCUGAAGGUUGCGAUGUCGCGGAUCGACACAUCACUCUGGCCUGGAACGACUCUUUAG
rnacentral:rRNA from 1 species